rnacentral:piRNA from 1 species
UUGGCAGGAAUGCUGGCUGUAGCUGUGU